CAAAUCAGGUAGGAUUACCCGCUGAACUUAAGCAUAUCAAUAAGCGGAGGAAAAGAAACUAACAAGGAUUCCCCUAGUAACUGCGAGUGAAGCGGGAAAAGCUCAAAUUUAAAAUCUGGUGGUCUUUGGCCGUCCGAGUUGUAGUCUGGAGAAGUGCUUUCCGCGCUGGACCGUGUACAAGUCUCUUGGAACAGAGCGUCAUAGAGGGUGAGAAUCCCGUCUUUGACACGGACUACCAGUGCUUUGUGAUGCGCUCUCAAAGAGUCGAGUUGUUUGGGAAUGCAGCUCAAAAUGGGUGGUAAAUUCCAUCUAAAGCUAAAUAUUGGCGAGAGACCGAUAGCGAACAAGUACCGUGAGGGAAAGAUGAAAAGCACUUUGGAAAGAGAGUUAAACAGUACGUGAAAUUGCUGAAAGGGAAACGCUUGAAGUCAGUCGCGUUGGCCAGGACUCAGCCUUGCUUUUUUGCUUGGUGCAUUUUCUGGUUGACGGGCCAGCAUCGAUUUUGACCGCUGGAAAAAGAUUAGGGAAAUGUGGCACCUUCGGGUGUGUUAUAGCCCUUAGUCACAUACAGUGGUUGGGAUCGAGGACCGCAGCACGCCUUUAUGGCCGGGGUUCGCCCACGUUCGUGCUUAGGAUGCUGGCGUAAUGGCUUUAAACGACCCGUCUUGAAACACGGACCAAGGAGUCUAACAUGCCUGCGAGUGUUUGGGUGGAAAACCCGAGCGCGUAAUGAAAGUGAAAGUUGAGAUCUCUGUCGUGGGGAGCAUCGACGCCCGGACCUGAACUUCGGUGAUGGAUCUGCGGUAGAGCAUGUAUGUUGGGACCCGAAAGAUGGUGAACUAUGCCUGAAUAGGGUGAAGCCAGAGGAAACUCUGGUGGUGCUCGUAGCGAUUCUGACGUGCAAAUCGAUCGUCAAAUUUGGGUAUAGGGGCGAAAGA
rnacentral:rRNA from 1 species